UUUUUUUUUUUUUUUUUUUGUGGAAAUGUGCUUUAAAAUGCAUUUGCUCUCAAGUUAAAGAUUUCCCUGCCAAGUUUUACCCAGAAAACACUUUUGCAGCCAAGUUAUAAACCCCUCCAAGUAUGAGUAUGCAGUGUAGCAAAGGAAAGAGCCUAAAGCAUAAUGGCACCAGUUAGCUCCCUGAGAAUGCCACCUUUGUGAUCUGUUAUCUUCCUUUGCCAGCUUCAGUUUGACAUUUCAUGAGAGCUGGGUUGGGCAAUUCAUUUUAAGCUUAGUUUUGGACUUAGUUAUCAAAAUAGGACAGUAAAGCUCUCAAACAUGCUGUAUGUUCUUGGAAAACACUGCAGAAAGACAAAUAUUUCACUUGGACUGAAAGGAGAUAUAAAUCUCACAUAGAAUGCCUGUCAGCAAAUUUCACUAAUAUGCUAAUUGUCUGAGUAGCAGACUGAUGGGAUAUCCUAUCUUAAGACCUUAAUGUGGAGAAGUAUGUGUCUGUUUUAUACUGUGAAUGUCGUGUUAAGAAGAUUCAUACGUCCCCUGAAAUAACAGAAAUCGUUUUGGCAUUUAUUUAUUUAUUUUUAAGGAGCUAAAUUAUUGUCUCUAUCUGUUAGUUUGGUCAGAGAGUGUUCUUAAACUGAAUUCUGACUGAGAUUAACACAGGAAACAUUAAGUAAUUUUGAACAUAUUGUUUUAAUUGAUGAGAGCUUGCCAGCAGAGGCAGAAUUUACCUAGAGAUUAUAGGGCCAGUGCUAGAGAACAGAUAAUUCAGCAGUCCCAUUUCCACAGAUUAUACAAAUGCAUCCCAAGGGACAUAAUUACUGGUGCUUAGUUAGUCCUUAUUCUUGUAGUUGAAAGUAUGGACUCUGCCAAAUGCCAUUCCAUAGGCAGCACGUGCAGGCUAGCUUGAGGUGAUGCUUGGACUCCUUUCCUGGGCACACCCAGCUGAGCUGCCUUUUUGCAGCCAGACAGCUGCUAUUCUCCCAGCACUGCAGAGAUGGUUGCCUCCUUACCACUGGGAGCCCGUCUGACAAAUGUAUGAGUAUAUGUGACUCACUUUCACAUCCUGUACAAGAGGAUGCCAGGGUCUGACAGAUCUGGCUGACAGUGCAUCUCCAAAGAGAACACAAGGAAGGACUUUACAGUGAUAAUUUUCCCAACUGAGAUGCUUCAAGGUAACCAUUCCUCUGGUGGCUUUAGCACCUCUGUGUUAACUUCACUUAUGCUCAUCUUUUCAGUAGAACACUGCACACCUGAAGUAGAACCUGGAAAUAAAUUUCAGGAGUCCCCUCUUUUAUUUGAGAAUUACUACACUGGCUGCAGAUGUUUUGCAUAGCUUGGCCUAAAGGAUGGAAGAUUUAUCUUAGUAUUUACUUUAAUAACAGGAUAAAAACAUUUAUCUGCAGCACAAUGGACUUCCAGAGUUACUUUCUCUUCUUUGUGGGCAUUAAAAUGAACUACAACAAUAUGGUCUUGCUGGUUUUUUUUCAGAUCUGUGGGAAAUAUACUGUAUUUUUACAUGUCUGAAAAAGAAGGGUCUUAUUCAGUAAAGCAUAUUUAUGUCCCUUAUCUUACUUAACCUGAGAAAUACUCUUGAAGUCAGGAGGAUUCUAUUUGAGGAUGCACAGCACGUAUUUUCAACUGCUUUUACUUUUAUCUUUUAAAAUAUCUUUCCAUCUGACAGUGGCUGUAACUCAGUGAGGAAAAGAUAAAUAACAUCUGAAAAGCAUACACGUUUUCUGAGUCACUGCUGUUACUAUUUUAAUGUUAGGUUAACAGAGAAACAGAAGGAGGCAUUUUCUUUAGCUGUGAGGGUAAGCACUUUGGUUGUGUCAGGUAUGAACAAUUUCCAUACAAGAAAGAGAAUCCAUUCUGAAAGAGGUUCUCUGUGUGUGUGCUGCGUUUUAUUUUAUUUUAUUUUUUAAGUGAAGAAAAACAAUAAUAGCGAUGCGGAAGCAGCACAUGGUUUUUCUAAACUUAUAUUAGACAUAUCUGAUCUUCAUGUUUGCAGUAAUCUGACUUUGGCAGGCUUUUUAAGACGGGUUAGGGAGUAUUACAUUAGACAGUGGUGCUAGGCAGCCAAACUUAUGAUAUUUUGCAGUUCCAGAAAAGAAAGUUCAACACAGCCAAGAUCUGAACAGAACAGAUAUUAUAUACUAAAGCGGGCUGGAAAAUCUCAGAGACAAACAUCCAAACGUUGCCCAGCUGAGUGCACUGGCAACUUGCACAGAACUGAAGGUCUAAAGCAGAUAUGCAUAAAAUAGGGAGAUUGUAAUCCUUUCUAUAUGGGAAGUAUGCCACAUGGGGGACUACUUUUCCCAGCAUGCAACUGCAAAAUAUCACAGAUCUCAGCCACCCUUGAGCGAGAUGGAUGAAAAGCAUGCAAAAUUGCUUUGACACAAAUAAUGGUGUACACAAAGUGAAGGCCACUGCUUCAGAUGCUGCUGGAAAAUAAAUCUCCUGUCCAUGUCCAGAGGAGAUGACAGAGAUGUGAAAUUAUGCUGAUGAAUUCUUUUGUCUCGUUGUACAUCAUUUAUAAAGCUGUUUUGAACUCAUCGCAGUCAUCUGAGUUAUGAUGUUCUGAAGGAGAAAUUUAUUGCAAAGGUACUGAGAUUAGUCAGCUGAGAAAGUCAUUUUUAUUUUUGGCAGAGUGAUCAUUGUAGAAAAUCGUAUAUUCUAAAAACAGAAACAAAUAAAGAAAAUGGGCAAUGGCUAGGCUUUAAAAUGGAAAAUAGGCAAAGUUUCUUAAUAACAAAUUAGAAAUUAAGGGAUGAUGCAACAAGUACAAAAUGUUUAUGGGUAUGGCUCUAUCAAUUACACUGAAAUCAAUUAAAAAUAGAAGAAAACUUUGAGAUAUUUUUCUUCCUUCAGCUGAAUUAUGUUGCUGUUUGAGCGUACAUUUCACCUGCCAAGAUAACUGUAGGGACAGACAUUGACUUAAUGCAGGUACCGAUGCUUCUUAAAGUGACAGAGUUCUCCAGUUGCCUGUCUUUGGAUGCAUCUAUUUACGAGACAAAAUCAUAACUUUCUUAAAUACUGAAAAUAAGUUCCUUGAUUUUUUUUUAGCUGUUCUGCAUAAAGUGACUGAAUGUACAUGCAUAUUUCCAGAUAAAAUCUACAAUGAAGUUAAGAGUACAUACACAGUUGUGAUGGUAGGCAUGAAAUCUUUUUUUCAUGCCAUAGUAUUCCUAAAACAAAUGCUAUAGGACCAGAAAAUAUUAUGAAUAUAAAAUUGAAACAAAACCAAAAAUAGCAACAUACUUAUUUUCACAUGAAAAUCUACUAACAAAUCUUACCUAUUACUCAGUGUGAGAUGGUAUAUUUAGAUAACUAUCUGGCAUCUUAUUGAUUACCAUCCGAGGUUAGAUUAAAGCAACUUCAAUACAUAUUAUAAUUCUGUCCUGCUGGUAUUUAUGGAGGAUAGAUGUUACAUUGCUAUGUGUCCUCACAUAAAAUAGGUCCUGGAAUGUUAAUUUUGACACAUUUCUGUGAACUGCCUGAAUUUCUAAUGUGUUUUUUUCUUAUCUUAUUCAUGCAGUAGUCCUGAAGCUUAGUAAAUUAAAAAAGAAAAAAAUUUGAUAAAUAAAAAGCUUUAGCUGCACUCCAGAGUUUCUUUUUGUUGAAGAGCUUCCUUUAAAAACAUGUGUAUAUCACCUUUUUGAACAAGAACUCUAAGGAAGGAAUUCUAGAAGCUCACCAUGUCUUAUUAUUUAAGACAGCAUUUCCCUUUCAACUCUGUUACCAGAGUUUUACUCUUACUUACUCUUUCAAGGUGGCUUUGUAAAAAUCCUGGCUUCUGGCUGGAGCACUAUUGCCACUUCUGUUGGCAAUCCUCUCCUAUUUACAUGGGAUCAUCAUUGACUGCACCCCACACUGCCCCCUCCACCACAUUUUCCCCAUGUAUGCAUGUAACUUCUUCCUGCGCUUCCAGAGCAGAGUUGCUUUCUUUUUUCAUUGCUCCAUUAACACAACUCAGACCAGGAGUAUUUACUAUCUGAAAUCUUCCUCAGAACGCCAAAGCUGCCUUGUUCUGAGCAGCACAGCACAUGGGAGGCCUUGUCCAGCACAGGACAUGGCAACGGCAUGAUUUGCUUGCUGUCUUUGAGGCCACCCGCCCUUGGUUUUCCCUGUUUUGGAAGGCUUCAAGUGGCACAUGAGGAUGGUGCACUUUUCCACUUGAAAAGACUGAACACUGAGCUAUGGGCCAGUACACAGCUGGGCCCGGGAAUGGAGUUUAAAAAAAAAAAAAAAAAAAA
rnacentral:lncRNA from 1 species